AUUGAACGCUGGCGGCAGGCCUAACACAUGCAAGUCGAACGGUAACAGGAAGACGCUUGCUUCUUUGCUGACGAGUGGCGGACGGGUGAGUAAUGUCUGGGAAACUGCCUGAUGGAGGGGGAUAACUACUGGAAACGGUAGCUAAUACCGCAUAACGUCGCAAGACCAAAAAGGGGGACCUUCGGGCCUCUUGCCAUCGGAUGUGCCCAGAUGGGAUUAGCUAGUAGGUGGGGUAACGGCUCACCUAGGCGACGAUCCCCAGCUGGUCUGAGAGGAUGACCAGCCACACUGGAACUGAGACACGGUCCAGACUCCUACGGGAGGCAGCAGUGGGGAAUAUUGCACAAUGGGCGCAAGCCUGAUGCAGCCAUGCCGCGUGUAUGAAGAAGGCCUUCGGGUUGUAAAGUACUUUCAGCGGGGAGGAAGGGAGUAAAGUUAAUACCUUUGCUCAUUGACGUUACCCGCAGAAGAAGCACCGGCUAACUCCGUG
rnacentral:rRNA from 1 species